UACGGAGGGUGCAAGCGUUAUCCGGAUUCACUGGGUUUAAAGGGAGCGCAGGCGGAUUUGUAAGUCAGUGGUGAAAGGCUUAAGCUUAACUUGGGAACUGCCAUUGAUACUAUAAGUCUUGAAUGUUGUUGAGGUUUGCGGAAUGGGUCAUGUAGCGGUGAAAUGCAUAGAUAUGACCCGGAACACCUAUUGCGAAGGCAGCAGGCUAAACAAAUAUUGACGCUGAGGCUCGAAAGCGUGGGGAUUAAACAGG
rnacentral:rRNA from 1 species